rnacentral:rRNA from 1 species
AUUGAACGCUGGCGGAAUGCUUUACACAUGCAAGUCGAGCGGCAGCGCGGCCUUCGGGCUGGCGGCGAGCGGCGAACGGGUGAGUAAUGCAUCGGAACAUGCCCAGUCGUGGGGGAUAACACUUCGAAAGAAGUGCUAAUACCGCAUACGUCCUGAGGGGGAAAGCGGGGGAUCGCAAGACCUCGCGCGAUUGGAGUGGCCGAUGUCAGAUUAGCUAGUUGGUGGGGUAAAGGCCUACCAAGGCGACGAUCUGUAGCUGGUCUGAGAGGAUGAUCAGCCACACUGGGACUGUGACACGGCCCAGACUCCUACGGGAGGCAGCAGUGGGGAAUUUUGGACAAUGGGGGCAACCCUGAUCCAGCCAUUCCGCGUGAGUGAAGAAGGCCUUCGGGUUGUAAAGCUCUUUCGGCAGGAACGAAACGGUGGGCUCUAACAUAGUCCGCUAAUGACGGUACCUGAAGAAGAAGCACCGGCUAACUACGUG